rnacentral:rRNA from 1 species
UUUUUUUAUUUUUUAUUUUUUUGCCCCCCCAGACGACGCUGGCGGCGUGCCUAAUACAUGCAAGUCGAACGCUUCUUUUUCCACCGGAGCUUGCUCCACCGGAAAAAGAGGAGUGGCGAACGGGUGAGUAACACGUGGGGUAACCUGCCCAUCAGAAGGGGAUAACACUUGGAAACAGGUGCUAAUACCGUAUAACAAUCGAAACCGCAUGGUUUUGAUUUGAAAGGCGCUUUCGGGUGUCGCUGAUGGAUGGACCCGCGGUGCAUUAGCUAGUUGGUGAGGUAACGGCUCACCAAGGCCACGAUGCAUAGCCGACCUGAGAGGGUGAUCGGCCACAUUGGGACUGAGACACGGCCCAAACUCCUACGGGAGGCAGCAGUAGGGAAUCUUCGGCAAUGGACGAAAGUCUGACCGAGCAACGCCGCGUGAGUGAAGAAGGUUUUCGGAUCGUAAAACUCUGUUGUUAGAGAAGAACAAGGAUGAGAGUAACUGUUCAUCCCUUGACGGUAUCUAACCAGAAAGCCACGGCUAACUACGUGCCAGCAGCCGCGGUAAUACGUAGGUGGCAAGCGUUGUCCGGAUUUAUUGGGCGUAAAGCGAGCGCAGGCGGUUUCUUAAGUCUGAUGUGAAAGCCCCCGGCUCAACCGGGGAGGGUCAUUGGAAACUGGGAGACUUGAGUGCAGAAGAGGAGAGUGGAAUUCCAUGUGUAGCGGUGAAAUGCGUAGAUAUAUGGAGGAACACCAGUGGCGAAGGCGGCUCUCUGGUCUGUAACUGACGCUGAGGCUCGAAAGCGUGGGGAGCAAACAGGAUUAGAUACCCUGGUAGUCCACGCCGUAAACGAUGAGUGCUAAGUGUUGGAGGGUUUCCGCCCUUCAGUGCUGCAGCUAACGCAUUAAGCACUC